rnacentral:rRNA from 1 species
CUGGGUUUGACAUACACCGGAAAACCGUAGAGAUACGGUCCCCCUUGUGGUCGGUGUACAGGUGGUGCAUGGCUGUCGUCAGCUCGUGUCGUGAGAUGUUGGGUUAAGUCCCGCAACGAGCGCAACCCUUGUCUUAUGUUGCCAGCACGUAAUGGUGGGGACUCGUAAGAGACUGCCGGGGUCAACUCGGAGGAAGGUGGGGACGACGUCAAGUCAUCAUGCCCCUUAUGUCCAGGGCUUCACACAUGCUACAAUGGCCAGUACAGAGGGCUGCGAGACCGUGAGGUGGAGCGAAUCCCUUAAAGCUGGUCUCAGUUCGGAUCGGGGUCUGCAACUCGACCCCGUGAAGUCGGAGUCGCUAGUAAUCGCAGAUCAGCAACGCUGCGGUGAAUACGUUCCC